AAAAUAACUGAAAAUUUGUUUGUCUGAAAAAUUAUGGACAUAUGCAUCUCGGACUGCCUAUUAACUGCUGUUCCGUUAUUUCCUGUUUUGAUUAAUAUCUGAAUGAAUAUGUUAAUGUAUAUAUGAAUCAGAAUGUAUUUUUGUUUCCCCACCCUUGUUUUUCCAACAGAACCUGAGUGUCUAUGCUGCUUUGUGAGACUUUUACCUGUAAAUUAUUGACAUGGACAAGUACAAAUCCAAAAAACUAAGGAGGAGGGCUGUUAAAAGAGUGAAUUGUUUUAUUGAAUCACUUGAAGGGGUUCAGAAUAGUGAGGAGUUGGACUUGGAUCAGGUAGAUGUUACAUCAGAUCCUGAGGACCUAUUAGAUCAGUUAGAUGUUACAUCAGAUCCUGAAGAGCUAAGUGUUGACUCGUCGUCAUCAGAGACACUUUUUGAUGAUGAGCAACCUGAUGACAUGAUUUCAGAGAGUGAUGAUUUGGUUGCUUCACUGGCUGGCUGGGCUGUUAAUUUCGGAGUUUCACUGGUUGCUUUAUCUGCCCUUUUGAGCAUACUUAGGGUGCAUAUCCCUUUCCUUCCUAAAGAUGGUAGAACUCUGCUUAAAACUAAAACAUCAUAUGUGACACACAUGAUAGCUGGAGGAGAUUUCUAUUACUUUGGUGUGCUGAAAACACUAAUGACCAAAUUCAAAAAUCUGUUCUCUAAAGCUCCUGACCACCAUUGCUUUAGACUGCAGUUAAAUUUUGAUGGCAUUCCUCUUUUUAAGAGCAAUUCUGUACAGCUCUGGCCAAUGCUUGGCAUGUUUCAAGACUUCAAAGUAAAAAGACCAUUUGUAAUAGGCAUGUUUUGCGGUAGCUCCAAACCUAAAUCUUUGGAUGAAUAUAUGAAAGAUCUUGUGAAUGAAAUAAAAACACUAGCCCAUGGGUUUGAGAUUGAAGGCAAAAGAUUCUUUUUACAAGUUAGUUCUGUUGUAUGUGAUGCGCCUGCAAGGGCUUUUGUCAAAGCCAUCAAAAGUCACAAUGGCCACUCUGCCUGUGGUAAAUGUACUCAGACUGGCCUGUAUCUGAAUCACAGAAUGACCUUUCCAGAAACAAACGCCCCGCUUAGAACAGACCUCUCUUUCCGACAGAUGUUAGAUGAAGACCAUCAUCUUGCAAAAUCCCCUUUAGUAGAAACAAAUGUUGACAUGGUUGGUGGUUUUCCGCAUGACUACAUGCAUCUUGUUUGUCUUGGGGUGAUGCGGAAACUCUUAGAUCUUUGGCUCAGUUCAGGACCACUUCGUGUUCGUGUAUCUUCCCGGCCAAGUCAGAUAAUUUCAGACUCUCUUGUAGGGUUGAGAUCUUACAUACCCUUUGACUUUGCUCGUAAACCAAGGCCACUAACAUAUAGACUGAGGUGGAAAGCUACAGAACUUAGGCAGUUUUUGUUAUACACUGGUCCAGUGGUCCUUCGUGAUGUCCUGCCCUCACCAGUGUACAGUCACUUUAUGCUUUUGUCAGUUGCUGUUUAUAUUCUUCUCAGUCCGAAAUUUUGUUUUCUGUUCAACGACUUUGCUCAUAGAUGUCUAGUGUCUUUUGUUGAACAUUUUAGUGUGUUAUAUGGUCAGGAAUUUUUGUGUUACAAUGUGCAUGGAUUAGUGCAUCUUUCUGAGGACGUAAAGCAACAUGGUAAUUUGGAUGGAUUUUCUGCCUUUCCAUUUGAAAAUUACUUGGGAUGUCUUAAAAAGCUUGUCAGAAGACCUUGCAAUCCUUUGGCUCAAGUCAUUCGGAGGCUAUCAGAAAUAGAUGCCCACAGGUGUACAGGAGAGGAGGAGAACUUUAAAAGAAGCCUCAGACUGGAACACAAUAAUGGCCCAGUUCCUUUGCUAUUUUCCAAUGCCGUUAAUCAGUUUCGAGAGGCCAUUCUUGGUGAUUUGAUCAUUAAAACAACAGAUGGAGACAACUGUGUGAAAAUUCAGAAUAGUAUUGCUGUUAUUGUCAACAUUAUUUUGAAUGGAGGAAAAAUGUUUCUUGUAUACAGGGAGUAUAGACAAAGAAGUUCAUUUUUUGAUUAUCCAAUGAGUUCAUGUGACUUGGGAAUUUAUUUUGUGAGGGGACUCUCUGAAGAUUUGCUCGUCUCAGAGUUCAAUGACACUGUUGAGAAGUAUGUUAGGUUACCUCUGCAAGAUGGUUUUGUUGUUGUACCAUUACUGCAUACGGCACAAGUUCAUGAAAAGGAAGAUUAAACAGAAUAUGUGGUCACACAAACCAUGGAGCCGUUGAUAAAACGAGUUUGGAGGAUCAAAAGAAGCUUUUAAGGAGAACAAAGAAUGUUUCAUAUUGUUUCAUUUUUGGAAACCAAUGAGGUGGAAGUUGUGCCUACUGGCUGGGUAGAUGGUGACCAGUGUGUUUGGCCAACCCUAAAAGGAGAUAGCCUGACAAAAGCAGUGAAAAUGAACAUGAAACCAAAAAAAGACUGGAAAAAAUAUAAAGUUAAGCUUCUCUACACAACAGACAACUAUGAAGAUGCCAGAAGAAAACUUCCUGAGGCAGAAAUGUUUACAGACAUUCAGUCUGAUGCAGAAGGUGAUGGUAAAAAACCUAGAAGAGUUAUGUAAGUAUGUUUCCAACACUUUUAUUUCAGGAAUUUACCAAAUACAAUAUUCAAAGGUUUAGGGUUACUUGACCAAAUUUUUUGUAAACUUAUUUUGUUCUGAGGAUGUAUGCUUGAAUAGUUUAAAUAUACUUUGUAGACAAAUCGUGCCAACAUAUUCUAUUACAAAGAUUUAAAAAAAGAAUGUUUUUGAAUGAAAUGACUAAGGGUGUUUUCACACUGACACUGUUUAGGUCGGCUUAAAUAAGCUUUUGGUCCAAGUAUGGUUCGUUUGGGUCAGUGUGAACACAACAGUCGCAUUCUGUUGCGGACUAAACGGCCGCUACUAGACCGCUCUAAACAGGUGGUCUUGAAGCAGCUGUCGUCGAACUCUGGUGCUGUCCAUCUGUGUUGUGAACGCUGCUUGACCUCAGGCCAAAUCGAAAUACAGGAAGUUC